rnacentral:rRNA from 1 species
AUUGAACGCUGGCGGCAUGCCUUACACAUGCAAGUCGAACGGCAGCACGGGUGCUUGCACCUGGUGGCGAGUGGCGAACGGGUGAGUAAUACAUCGGAACGUACCUUAUCGUGGGGGAUAACGCAGCGAGAGCUGUGCUAAUACCGCAUACGCCCUGAGGGGGAAAGCGGGGGAUCGCAAGACCUCGCGCGAUUAGAGCGGCCGAUGCCUGAUUAGGCAGUUGGUGGGGUAAAAGCCCACCAAGGCGACGAGCAGUAGCUGGUCUGAGAGGACGAUCAGCCACACUGGGACUGAGACACGGCCCAGACUCCUACGGGAGGCAGCAGUGGGGAAUUUUGGACAAGGGGGGCAACCCUGAUCCAGCAAUGCCGCGUGAGUGAAGAAGGCCUUCGGGUUGUAAAGCUCUUUUGUCAGGAAAGAAACACCGGCUCUAACACAGUCCGGGAAUGACGGUACCUGAAGAAUAAGCACCGGCUAACUACGUGCCAGCAGCCGCAGUAA